rnacentral:rRNA from 1 species
UACGGAGGGUGCAAGCGUUAUCCGGAUUCACUGGGUUUAAAGGGUGUGUAGGCGGAUCUUUAAGUCAGUGGUGAAAUCUCCAGGCUCAACCUGGAAACUGCCAUUGAUACUAUUGGUCUUGAAUUCUGUUGAGGUGGGCGGAAUACAUCAUGUAGCGGUGAAAUGCUUAGAUAUGAUGUAGAACACCGAUUGCGAAGGCAGCUCACUAAGCAGCGAUUGACGCUGAGGCACGAAAAGCGGUGGGGGAAUCAAACAGGG